AACGAACGCUGGCGGCGCGCCUAACACAUGCAAGUCGAACGAGAAUCCGGGGCAACCCGGUAGUAAAGUGGCAAACGGGUGAGGAAUACAUGGGUAACCUACCCUUGAGAAGGGAAUAACCCGCCGAAAGGUGAGCUAAUACCCUAUACGCUAUCUUUUUUUCGAAAAGGAUAGGAAAGCCGGGUCGAGGACCUGGUACUCAAGGAGGGGCUCAUGUCCUAUCAGCUUGUUGGUGGGGUAACGGCCUACCAAGGCUACGACGGGUAGCUGGUCUGAGAGGAUGAUCAGCCACACUGGCACUGAGAUACGGGCCAGACUCCUACGGGAGGCAGCAGUGAGGAAUAUUGCGCAAUGGGCGAAAGCCUGACGCAGCGACGCCGCGUGGGGGAGUGAAGGUUUCGGUAUUGUAACCCUUUCUAUGAGGAAGAUAAAGUAGGUAACCACUUAGACGGUACCUCAAGAAGAAG
rnacentral:rRNA from 1 species